GCCAGGCAUGGUGGUACAUGCCUGUAAUCCCAGCUACCUGGGAGGCUGGGGCAGAGGGAUCACAAUUUCUAAGGCAGCCUUGGCAAUUUAGUAAGACCCUAUUUCAA
rnacentral:sRNA from 1 species